GAUGAACGCUAGCGGGAGGCAUAAUACAUGCAAGUCGAACGGGAUUUAAAGAGUAGCAAUACAAUUUAAUGAGAGUGGCGUACGGGUGCGUAACGGGUAUGCAACCUACAUUUAUCUGGGGGAUAGCCCCUCGAAAGAGGGAUUAAUACCGCAUAACAUGGUUUAAGGGCAUCCUUAGGCCAUCAAAACUUCGGUGGAUAGAUAUGGGCAUGCUUGACAUUAGGUAGUUGGUGAGGUAAUGGCUCACCAAGCCUACGAUGUCUAGGGGGUCUGAGAGGAUGUACCCCCACACUGGUACUGAGACACGGACCAGACUCCUACGGGAGGCAGCAGUAGGGAAUAUUGCACAAUGGGCGAAAGCCUGAUGCAGCAAUGCCGCGUGUGUGAAGAAGGCCUGCGGGUUGUAAAGCACUUUUCGGUAGGGAAGAUUAUGACGGUACCUACAGAAGAAGCACCGGCUAACUCCGUGCCAGCAG
rnacentral:rRNA from 1 species